rnacentral:lncRNA from 1 species
ACAAAUAUGUCCAUAGAAAUAUGGAAGGUUUUAAGCCAGAAAAUCCUUAAAUGAAGGUCUGUAGCAGUAUCUCUCCAGAUAUUUAAAAAUACAAUGAUCACCAAAAUAUGCUAUAAAUGUUUAAAAUGGACUCCUAUCGAAAGUUCAGAGGUUAAAGAUGAUGUUGUUUAUGGUACUCCUAGAAAUUGAUUCUUCUUUAUUUUUUCUUUUCGUUGAGUUUAAUUGCCACUAGAAUUAUUUUCAAGUUAAGAAGAUAAGAGGAUUGACUUUUUAAACUUCAAAAUGAACUUCCCUGCUGUGACUGACUAUAUUCCCCAGUAUGGAGAAUUGAUGAGGAACCUGUUGAACAGAAAAGUCUCUGACCAUAAUCAAGGUCACACAGUCAGAAGGCAUCCCAGCAGACACUCCACACUAGCCAAUGUGGAUUCAGAGACUGCACCCUUGAUUACUGUGUUGUUUGAUGAUACUAGUGGUGAUUUCCACGGGGGGCAGAGAUGAUUUUCCUGGCUCUGGGCCUCAUGGGUUUCACACUACCUUUG